UACAGAGGUCUCAAGCGUUGUUCGGAUUCAUUGGGCGUAAAGGGUGCGUAGACGGUUAUUUAAGUCGGGUGUGAAAGCCCCGGGCUCAACCUGGGAAUUGCAUUCGAGACUGAAUAGCUAGGGUACGGUAGAGGGAAGUGGAAUUUCCGGUGUAGCGGUGAAAUGCGCAGAUAUCGGGAAGAACACCCGUGGCGAAGGCGGCUCUCUGGGACGGUACUGACGCUGAGACGCGAAAGCGUGGGGAGCGAACAGG
rnacentral:rRNA from 1 species